AGCAGCUCAAGGCACAUCAAUUUCAAGAUGACUUAAAGGCCCAGACAGGACCACUGCAGAAAAGGUUUUCCUCUGGGUUCAGCACAGGCAUCUUUGCAGUCACCCCAGAAGACAGCAGUGGAUCCCAAAAGUUCCUUGUCUCUACCUGCUGUCCCAAUGAGCAGCCACAGAACAGCCAGGGUGCUAUCACAUUAAAAUGGCUUUCUGGAGGGCGAAGAAAAAAAUGCAGAGGGUGGGAAAGCGGGUGGGAAGCAAGUAUUAAUUGCUGUCCGGAUCGUUAGGAAAAUGGCACAGAGCGCUGAGCAGCAGUUGGGGGCUGGUUUUGAGUGGUGCCACUGGGUCCGGUAGGUUAUAAAGGUAGUGCCAUUCCCAGACUUCCCCUAGCAGGGAGCGAGGGCUGUGGGCAGCAGCCUCCUGGGGGGGGGGGCUGUCCUCCCUUACAGGAUGAUGUCUUGAUGUGCUGCUGCUUGUGAGAGAGGCUGAAGAGCUGCUCAGGGCCCUCCACCAGCAAGGUGCGUUCCCUGGGGCAGGGGAGGGAUGGCUAAUGGUGCAGCAUCCUCUUGGGAAGCCUUUUGCACUCCUCUGGACCCAUCCUGACACACAGGACCAGGGUGGGGGGGCCACUGUGGAGUGCCCUGACAGCCCCCAGAGCUGAGGGGCUGGGUGGGUGGCCUCUGUGACGAACUGUCGUGGUUUGUCACCAACCUUUACGGGGGAAAAACGGAGGUCCCUGGGCCCUACGCACCAGCCAGCCCUGCCUUUGGAUGGUGGAGAGCUGCAUCUUCUGGGCGUCUGCUGCUGAGCAGAGGAGGGCAAGGGGAGGAAAAGAUGACUUUGGCCUGGAGGAGGGCCCCUGGGGGUCUUCUGAUCCCUUCCAGGCCACCUUCAGCUUUGUACCGGGUUGCUCAGGGUUGAGCAUCUCCAAGGGACGUCACAGUUCCAUCGGUCCUGCCUGCCUGGCUGGUGGCUUUUCCCCCACACGAGGACACAGGAACUGGCUGUGGGCAAGGGCAGAGUGCUGAGUGUGCUACCCCUCUCUCCUACCCUCCUCCUUUUGGCUGGGGAUGCCUGGGCUGGGCAAAAAGACAUAUUAGAUGAAAAAUUGUCUGCCCUAGGCCCGGAGGCUGAGGACUGCUGAGCCUCAGGAUCCCUCUGACGUUGGCAGCUGAGG